ensembl:lncRNA
CAACGUCACCCCUGAGGCCAACGUCACCCCUGAGGACAGUGUCACCCGCGGGACCAGCGUCACCCACGGGACCAGCGUCCCCCAUGAGGCCAACGUCACCCGUGGGACCGCGCCCCCCCCCGACGCCGCCGUCCCCUCUGGAGCCGCUGUCCCCGCCGGGUGGCCCGGACCUGGCGCUGGACGAGCUGGACGUCACCGAGCUGGCCCUGGCCGCCGGGCUCCUCGUCCCCCCGGGCCCGGUGACGGGGGACAGCAGCGAGGACGAGGAGGGGGCGCGGGGCGGCCCCCGGGGGCGCUACUACCGCUUCGCCCGCACCGUGGUGACGCGGGAGCCGCCCCCGCCAUCGCCGUGUCCCCUCCCGCUGCCCCACAUCGACCAGCUGGACGGGGUGGACGACGGGGACAAGGGGGCGCGGGGACGGCGGGACGGGGCGCCCCCGGUGCCGCCCCCCCCGCCCCCGCCGCCGGUGCCACCGCCCGCCGCCGAGGACCUGCCCUCGGACAUCGUCGACUUCGUCCUGAAGAACAUGGCGAGGGACGGCGCCAAGGCCAGCGCCACGCGGCCCGCGGGGGCGGGCGUCAACGGCGACAGCGGCGGUGGCACCCAGUGGGUGACGGAAGAGCCCGCCCGGCGCCCUGCCGGGGGGUGGGGGGCACGGGACGGCCACCCCGGGGUGCCCCGCGGCGGGGACGCGGACGCGGGUGACGGAGGUGGCGCCUACGGGGAGGUCACCGGUGGACGCGGCAACCGCGGGGGUGGCACCCAUGGGCGCAUCGUCGAUGGCCACCGCCUCCUCGGAGAUGCCACCAACGGCCACGCCACCCGUGAAGACGCCACCCGCAGAGACCCCACCCACGAAGGCGUCACCCACGAAGGCGUCACCCCUGGAGACCCCACCCACGAAGACGUCGCCCACCACAACGGCACCCACGGCCACGCCGCCACCCACGGGCGCCACCACGCCGACGCCGCCCGCCGCGGCGCCACCUUCUGCGCCAGCACCCACGGCCGCGUCACCCGCCUCAGCGCCACCCGGCACAGCGCCGCCCUGGGCGAGGCCGCCUGGGGGGCACCCUGGGGACCCGCCGGGGCGCCCAACACCCAAGGGGGGGCACCCAGCACCCAAGGGGGGGCACCCAAGCGCCCCGGGGAGACGCUGGGUCCGGGUGCCAAGAGGCCCAAGCUGGAGGCCACCGACGAUGAAGAAGGGGACACCAAGGACGCGCUGGCCACCGGGCUGGGCCAGGUCCCCGUACCACCACUGCCACCGCUCCGGGACCUGCUGGACGUCAAGGAGGAGCCCGAGGACCUCAGCGACACCGGGAGCUACGGGUCCCCUCCGGGCCCGUCGCCCUCCCCUGGCUGCAGCCCCCCCCGGAGUGACGGCGCCUUGGAGCCCCCCUGGGCCGCCUGUGCAGGUAGGGGCACCCAUGGGUGCCACUGGGGUGGGGUGGGAGACACCCCUGUGGGACACCAGCUUCAGGUGGGGGCACCCAUGGGUGCCACUGGGGUGGGGUGGGGGACACCCCUCUGGGACACCAGCUUCAGGUGGGGGCACCCAUGGGUGCCAUUGGCUUGAGGUAGGGGACACCCUUGGGUGCUACCAGCUGGUGUAGGGGGCACCC